UUGAUGACAGGACAUAUUUCGUCUUGUCCUCGUUCACUACCAGACCCACUCGCUUCGCUUCUUUAUUAAGCAAGGAGAACGCAGAACUAACUGGGUAUUGGAUCCUUGGGUCACGGCUUAUGAGAGAAGAAGUCUCAGUGAAGCCAAUUCCAACUUAUUCGGUUUAAGGGUCUUCUGAAGUCUAAUUGCAGCGUCUGUUCACCAGAGGUGCGACUGCGAGCAGGCGUCGGUCUUGAAGCAAGGGGCUUAGUAUAUGAAUGUGUAAACAACUUUAAACUUACUCGCCAGGCAAGGUUGUGCGCUGGUUUUGGGACCCGCCACGUAGAAACCAGCUCCAAUGAAAAAUUACACAACUCCACCCUUCUGAAUAGCAUCAUAAGUAACACUGACCACACAUGAUGGCUGUCAGGUCGCACGCUUUUUUAUAUACAUAUAUAUUUUAUGUAAUUUCGUGUGAGAAACACGCCGACAGGAUUCCAGAGAUUUUUCAAAUAAUGAAUUGUAUUUAUACUCUAUGAAAUUUAUGUUGCGAUUUCCGGACAAUUACCCAGUAAUUUGAUAAAGUCAUUUAUUCACAAGUUGAUUGAUAUUAGCUUUGUGACCAUAGGCGGUUGUGCAAUUCAGUAACGAGAAUAUGGGUGAGUUCCACAAUGUCAGUUGCAAAGCAACCAUACAAUGACAAGCAAUCCUAAAUGCCACUGAGCAAACUUUAACGAUGUAUCAUGUUCAAAAAUACAUCGAUAAAGUCAUUGAUGCGCAAACAAAAGCAAACAUUAUAAAACUUAUUUUUUUGAUAUGUUUUAUGUUUUAGCCAUUUCACCGAAAAGCAACUUAUUUGCACGAAAAGCGUUACAAAAUGUCAGACUUGGCAAAGUAUUAUUGCAAGGAAAAUUUAUAGAAUGUAGGGUUGCAUUGUAUUUAUUUAUUUAUAAUGCGGUUGUCAAACCGUAUUUUGACGUUUUGGAAGUCGUCCUAUCGAAUGCGAUAAAAUUUCUUGAACAGCUUUUAGAACCAUAAUUUUUCAUUAAAAUAAAUAAAAGCUGCUAAUAAUACUAAGCAGGUCAAUGACCUAAUUUUUGAAUGUGUUAAGUUUACUAUUUAUUUAUAGCUGUUUGAAACUACAGACAUUCGUAAGUAUUUUGAUGUUUAUUUACAUUUUAAUUAUUUUCAACAUAUUCAACAGGCGCAAAGAACCACCUAGGAUGAUAUUAGAAGGAAGGAGACAAUCGAGAAAACAAAUGAGUAAGAGGCCAAGUAUCACCCAGAAUCCCUAAAGGGCAUCCCAAAUUUGACGGAUGCUGUGAAUAGUCAGGGGUGUUACAGAAACUCAUUGUUGUCAGCAUCAGAAUUGAAACCACCAAAAUUCUUCUAACAUCGAAAAAUUCUAUCACCGCCAAAGUCAAUCACAAAAAUUGAAUAAAAUUUCUGUUUUUUUUGCACAAGUGAGAUGACAGCUGAUUCGAAUAUCGGUUUUGAUAAUUUUCGCGAAAAGCAAAUUCAAGUCGGUUUCAUAAUACUAUUUCAAACAGAUAAUAAGUAUCAUUGCAUGCGAUAAAUUAACAAUUCUGUGUUGGUUUCUAUAACACCCCUAAAUAUGGCGAAUACCAUCAUGUUAGCAUAAGCACUGUCCUCACUUACUCACUUUACUGGCCUAGACACCGCUUAAGCGAUUAAUUCCGAAUAUAAAUAAACCUGCUUUAUGAUUAUGAGAAUAGGCGAGUUCCAAAACCUCAAAAUACUUCGUAAUGAUGCGGUUGCCCGCCUCCAAAAAUUAAAAUGCGUACUUCAAAAAUCAAUUUUCAUGGGAAAAUGAGUUUUACGUUUUUCCAUUCCACAAUUUAUUUUAUAGUCGGUUACCUUUCAAAAAUCCUCGAAUUAUAGUUUCCAUUCAUACGAAAAUUUCGGUAAAUUUAUUAAAUGCCUAUUUUUUUUUUAUAAAAACUCACACACAACUUCUAUGUGAAGAAACUUUAGCGGUGUAUUAAAAUAAUCCGCAUUUUUGUUGCACUACACAUCACAAAAUAUUCGUCGUUUCCGCAACUUAUAGGUUUUGAGUAAUUUGUUGCUAAAGUUAAAAUUUUGACCAACCAAUAUUCCUGAACAAAAGCUAGAUGUGAAGGUCGAUGAUAC